AGGACUGUAGUGGAUAAGCUGUAGCGAUCC
rnacentral:piRNA from 1 species